rnacentral:snoRNA from 1 species
CAGGCCCUGGAUGAAGGCCACCGGUUUGCCGUAGCCGCUGGUUUCAAGCAGGAGCCCAGAGGGAAUGGCUCCCGGUCUGUUGGUGCUCCUGGCCCUGUGGAACAGCCAAUUCGUGUGGGAGCGACACCC